UACGUAGGGUGCGAGCGUUGUCCGGAAUUAUUGGGCGUAAAGAGCUCGUAGGCGGUUUGUCGCGUCUGCCGUGAAAGUCCGGGGCUCAACUCCGGAUCUGCGGUGGGUACGGGCAGACUAGAGUGCGGUAGGGGAGAUUGGAAUUCCUGGUGUAGCGGCGGAAUGCGCAGAUAUCAGGAGGAACACCGGUGGCGAAGGCGGGUCUCUGGGCCGAUACUGACGCUGAGGAGCGAAAGCAUGGGUAGCGAACAGG
rnacentral:rRNA from 1 species